rnacentral:rRNA from 1 species
CCUACGGGUGGCAGCAGUCGGGAAUAUUGCGCAAUGGAGGAAACUCUGACGCAGUGACGCCGCGUAUAGGAAGAAGUUUUUCGGAAUGUAAACUAUUGUCGUUAGGGAAGAGAAAGGACAGUACCUAAGGAGGAAGCCCCGGCUAACUACGGGCCAGCAGCCGCGGUAAUACGUAGGGAGCGAGCGUUAUCCGGUUUAAUUGGGUGUAAAGGGUGAGUAGACGGGAAAACAAGUUAGUAGUGAAAUCCCUAGGCUUAACUAAGGAAAUGCAACAAAAACUAUUUAUCUUGAGUGCAGGAGAGGUAAGUGGAAUUCCUAGUGUAGCGGUGAAAUGCGUAGAUAUUAGGAGGAACACCAGUGGCGAAGGCGACUUACUGGACUGUAACUGACGUUGAGGCACGAAAGUGUGGGGAGCAAACAGGAUUAGAUACCCGAGUAGUC